rnacentral:rRNA from 1 species
UGGGGGAUAUUGCACAAUGGUCGAAAGCCUGAUGCAGCGACGCCGCGUGGGGGAUGAAGGCCUUCGGGUUGUAAACUUCUUUUGCUCUGAACAAGGCAUGCUAAUGGGUGUGUUGAGUGUAGGGGUUGAUUAGCGCCGGCUAACUACGUGCCAGCAGCCGCGGUAAUACGUAGGGCGCGAGCGUUGUCCGGUAUUAUUGGGCGUAAAGGGCUUGUAGGUGGCUGGUUGCGUCAGUCGUGAAAGCUCAUGGCUUAACUGUGGGUUUGCGGUGGGUACGGGCUGGCUUGAGUGCAGUAGGGGAGGCUGGAAUUCCUGGUGUAGCGGUGGAAUGCGCAGAUAUCAGGAGGAAUACCGGUGGCGAAGGCGGGUCUCUGGGCUGUUACUGACACUGAGGAGCGAAAGAAUGGGGAGCGAACAGG